GAUGAAGAACGUAGCGAAAUGCGAUAACUAAUGUGAAUUGCAGAAUUCCGUGAAUCAUUGAGUCUUUGAACGCACAUUGCGCCCCCUGGUAUUCCGGGGGGCAUGCCUGUCCGAGCGUCAUUGCUGCCCUCAAGCACGGCUUGUGUGUUGGGCCUCCGUCCUCCUCCCGGGGGACGGGCCCGAAAGGCAGCGGCGGCACCGCGUCCGGUCCUCGAGCGUAUGGGGCUUCGUCACCCGCUCUUGUAGGCCCGGCCGGCGCUUGCCGACACAUCAAUCUUUUUUCCAGGUUGACCUCGGAUCAGGUAGGGAUACCCGCUGAACUUAAGCAUAUCAAUAAGCGGAGGA
rnacentral:misc_RNA from 1 species